GGUGACUUGCCCGAGUGGUCCAAGGGGUCAGGUUUAGGCCCUGAUAUGUUCGCAUGCGUGGGUUCGAACCCCACAGUCAUCA
rfam:Zancudomyces culisetae strain COL-18-3 scaffold-2992, whole genome shotgun sequence.